rnacentral:rRNA from 1 species
GAAUGGUUGGACGAGAUAUAAUCUGUUUCAUUUAAAAUUUAGUUAGAAUUUUAUUUUUUAGUUAAAAAGCUAAAAUAUAUUCAAAAGACGAGAAGACCCUAUAAAUCUUGAUUAUUUAGUAAUUUUUAGUUUAUUUUGAUUUUUUUUAUUAUAAAUUUAUUAAUUAAUUUUAUUGGGGUGAUAUUAAAAUUUAAAUAACUUUUAAUAAUUUUUAUCAUUUAUUUAUGAUUAAGUGAUCCAUUAUUAGUGAUUAGAAAAUUAAGUUACUUUAGGGAUAACAGCGUAAUUUUUUUGGAGAGUUCUUAUCGAUAAAAAAGUUUGCGACCUCGAUGUUGGAUUAAGAUUCAUAUUUAAAUGUAGAAGUUUAAAUAUAAAGUCUGUUCGACUUUUUAUUCUUACAUGAUCUGAGUUCAAACCGGUGUAAGCCAGGUUGGUUUCUAUCUUUGAUUUGGUAAAAUAUUUUAGUACGAAAGGAAUUAAUAUUUAUUUUAAAAAAAUUAAUUUAUGAAUAAAUUUAAUUACUAU